rnacentral:rRNA from 1 species
CGCCUUAUACUCCUACGGGAGGCAGCAGUAGGGAAUAUUGGACAAUGGGCGCAAGCCUGAUCCAGCCAUGCCGCGUGAGUGAAGAAGGCCCGCGGGUUGUAAAGCUCUUUUGUCCGGAAAGAAAAGCAUUCGGUUAAUACCCGGGUGUUCUGACGGUACAGGAAGAAUAAGCACCGGCGAACUUCGUGCCGGCAGCCGCGGUAAUACGAAGGGUGCAAGCGUUACUCGGAAUUACUGGGCGUAAAGCGUGCGUAGGUGGUUUGUUAAGUCUGAUGUGAAAGCCCUGGGCUCAACCUGGGAAUGGCACUGGAUGCUGGCAAGCUAGAGUGUGGCAGAGGGUAGUGGAAUUCCUGGUGUAGCGGUGAAAUGCGUAGAGAUCAGGAGGAACAUCCGUGGCGAAGGCGACUGCCUGGGCCAACACUGACACUGAGGCACGAAAGCGUGGGGAGCAAACAGGAUUAGAUACCCGGGUAGUCCACGUACCA